rnacentral:rRNA from 1 species
CACCGCGGUUAUACGAGGGGCCCAAGUUGACAGUCCACGGCGUAAAGGGUGGUUAGGGAAUUCUAUUAAACUAAAGCCGAACGCUUACAAAGCUGUUAUACGCACACGAAAGUAAGAAGAUCAACAACGAAAGUGGCUUUAUUCACCCUGAACCCACGAAAGCUAAGGAA